AUACACUUAAGAGUAUUUUUAUGAGUAAAUAUAUAAAACUAUCCACUUUCAUAUUGUAAAGAUAAAAAUUGUCCACUAAGAUAAAAAUAAUAAAAACUGUCCACUUUUUGAUUGAAAAGACAGAAAUACCCUUAACAUUAAAAACAUAAAAAUUAACCAUUUUUCUCUCAUUUUCUCUCUCCUCUUUCUCUCUCUACGCAUUCUCUGAUUCUCUCCCCCAUUCUCUUCUCUCUCUCAUCUCUCUCUCCACUCUCUAUCUCAUCUCUCUUUCUCGAGCGACGCUGCGGCGGACCAGGUCAAGCAAGGCGGCGAGGCGCGGGCAGAUGCGGCGGAGGAAGCCACCGUCGGCAGAGCCGGGGGAGGUGGACAUCGGCUGGAGGUACGCCCACGCCGCCUGCUUGAUGAGGCGGUUCCGGAUGCAGAUAUCGGAUCCGCCCUGCGUGGAGCUCGGCCGCGGCGAGUUGACUGCCGUCGUCGGGAGGAGGUCCUUCAGCGAGGUCUAGCUGUGAGAAUUAGGCUUCAUCGACAGCAGCUCGAGAUUGUCGGAAGACGACGACGUGGUGGCGGAGGACGAGCUGUGGUGGUGGUGGUAGAGGAGAUUGAGCUUGGUCGGCGCUACUACGAUCGAGGAGGGGAUUGAACUCCGGCGGCGGAGCUAGGGGGUUUUGCUGCGGAAAUCCUAGAUCUGAAGCGGCGUUCUCGGAUUCGA
rnacentral:lncRNA from 1 species